rnacentral:rRNA from 1 species
UAGAUGCGAGAGUAGAGCAUAUCAAUAAGCGGAGGAAAAGAAACUAACAAGGAUUCCCUUAGUAACGGCGAGUGAAGCGGGAAGAGCUCAAAUUUGAAAUCUUCAAGGUUCUACCUUGACGAAUUGUAGUUUAUAGAAGUGUUUUCUGUUAGUAGAGUGGCAAAAGUUCUUUGGAAUAGGACAUCAUAGAGGGUGAGAAUCCCGUAUUUGGUCAUUCCUCCUAGCGUUGUGAUACACUUUCAACGAGUCGGAUUGUUUGGGAAUGCAGUCCAAAAUGGGUGGUAAAUUUCAUCUAAAGCUAAAUAUUGGCGAGAGACCGAUAGCGAACAAGUACCGUGAGGGAAAGAUGAAAAGAACUUUGAAAAGAGAGUUAAACAGUACGUGAAAUUGUCAAAAGGGAAGCGUUUGACACCAGUGUUGUUUUUCCGAAAAUCAAUUACGAAUGUUUUGUUUUUGAGGAGUUAUGACUUCAUCGGCUUGCUUCUCUCUUUACGAAACUUUCUUAAUGCACUUUUCGGUUAACAAGUCAACAUCAAUUUCUUUUGUUGUAAAAGGGUAUGAGGAAGGUGGCUUUCUUUUCGGAGAAAGUGUUUAUAGCCUUGUGCCUCUGCAAUCGGAGAGAUUGAGGUCUGCAGCGUAGAUCCUUCGGGGUUAGAUACAGUUUGUGCUAAGUUAUAGCUUUUCAUAGACAACUUGUUGACUAUGUUUAGUCUUGUAGCUUACUCGCUUAUGCUAUUUUACCUACGCUUAGGAUGUUGACACACGCGCGUGCUCG